rnacentral:siRNA from 1 species
UCCUGAACUUUUGUUGUCUUCUUC